rnacentral:rRNA from 1 species
CCUACGGGAGGCAGCAGUGAGGAAUAUUGGUCAAUGGCCGGAAGGCUGAACCAGCCAAGCCGCGUGAAGGACGACGGUGCUAUGCAUUGUAAACUUCUUUUGUCCAGGGACAAAAUCAGGCUCGCGAGCCCGAUUGAGGGUACCUGAAGAAAAAGCAUCGGCUAACUCCGUGCCAGCAGCCGCGGUAAUACGGAGGAUGCGAGCGUUAUCCGGUUUUAUUGGGUUUAAAGGGUGCGUAGGCGGACGGUUCAGUCAGCGGUAAAAGCCCUGGGCUAAACCCCGGCGAGCCGUUGAAACUGGCUGUCUUGAGUGGGCGAGAGGUAUGCGGAAUGCGCGGUGUAGCGGUGAAAUGCUUAGAUAUUGCGCAGAACUCCGAGUGCGAAGGCAGCAUACCGGCGGCGAACUGACGCUGAGGCACGAAAGCGUGGGUAUCGAACAGGAUUAGAUACCCUGGUAGUC